rnacentral:rRNA from 1 species
GUUGAACGCUGGCGGCAUGCUUUACACAUGCGAGUCGAACGGCAACGCGGGCUUCGCCCUGGCGGCGAGUGGCGAACGCGUGAGCAAAGCAUCGGAACAUGCCGCGUAUGUGGGGAUUGUCCCGCCAAAGCCGGCUUCCUACCACCUACGACCUGAGCCUGAUAGCCGGGGGCCGUAGGCCCGCCCGCUACUGCGGGGAUCGAUGUCGGAUUAGCUAGUUGGUGGGGUAAAGGCUUACCAAGCCGACGAUCCGUAGCUCGUCUGAGAGGACGACCAGCCACAGUGGGAGUGAGCCGCGCACCAGAGUCCUAAGGGAGGCAGCAGUGGGGAAUUUGGGACAAUAGGGGCGACCGUGAUCCAGCAAUGCGGCGUGGGAGACGACGGCCUGCCGGUUGUAAGCCGCGUCUGUUGGGGAAGAAAUGCUCUCGCCUGAUACCCCGCGGGAAUGACGGUACCGGAAGAAUAAGCACCGGCUAACUACGUG